rnacentral:rRNA from 1 species
GACGAACGCUGGCGGCGUGCUUAACACAUGCAAGUCGAACGAUGAAGCCGGAGCUUGCUCUGGUGAAUUAGUGGCGAACGGGUGAGUAACACGUGAGUAACCUGCCCUUGACUCUGGGAUAACUGCGGGAAACUGUAGCUAAUACCGGAUACGACCCUCGGAGGCAUCUCCUGGGGGUGGAAAGAAUUUCGGUCAAGGAUGGACUCGCGGCCUAUCAGCUAGUUGGGGAGGUAACGGCUCACCAAGGCGACGACGGGUAGACGGCCUGAGGGGGUGACCGGCCACACUGGGACUGAGACACGGCCCAGACUCCUACGGGAGGCAGCAGUGGGGAAUAUUGCACAAUGGGCGCAAGCCUGAUGCAGCAACGCCGCGUGAGGGAUGACGGCCUUCGGGUUGUAAACCUCUUUUAGCAGGGAAGAAGCGAAAGUGACGGUACCUGCAGAAAAAGCACCGGCUAACUACGUGCCAGCAGCCGCCGUAA